GUUGAAACACCAAUUCCCAUAUGGUCACUGAAGUUAAAUAACAUUGUGUCUGGUUAGUACCUAGAUGGGUGACCACUUGGGAAUACCAGGUGAUGCCAGC